rnacentral:lncRNA from 1 species
GAGGUGGGUGCCUUGGGGGUGGUCCCAACUGGGUGGGGUUGGGGAGCCUGGGGGCACCAUACGGGUAUAAGAAUUCAUUUUGGACACAGUGUGUGUCCCCUUCUGCGGAACCUUUGAGCUCAAUAGCCCAAGGGCAGGCCAGGCUCACCGCCCCUUUGGCUGUUGCCACUCUGGGUCAGUCUCCAGGGGCAAGGACAGGUUGGCAGUGUCCCCCCUCUGCCUGACUCCAGUCUGGGCAUUUCUGGAGCAUCCUGUGCGCCUGGCUCAGCCCAGCAAGCUGACAUUUGAAAGCUCACAGCUGUCCUGUGAGGUGGGUGAUUCCCGUGUCGUUUCAUGGUGAAGAAGCCAAGGCCAGGACAGAAGUGACCUGUCCCCGGGCCACAGCUGGGCAGGGGCGGAGUUGGCAUUUGAACCCAGCUGCGUGCCUCUUGAGUGCUGCUCUGUGGGCCCCGCAGCCUCCUGUCAGCUCCUUCUGGCGCCUGCUCUGUGGGUGUUCCUUUUGUCUAAGGCGCCUGCAGCCCUCAGAGGGUCUGUGGGGUGGGGACAGAGCUCAGCACCCCGCAUCCACCAGCACCAUCUCCGACCUCUGUGCAGGCUUCGUGUUAGAGGUGGCAGCCAGGUCCUGCCAACGGAAGAUGCUGGGCCUUGGAAACAGCCUGCACUGUAGGUGACCCGGCCGGCCGGGCCCAAACUGGCUGCCAAGAAAAGGGAGCGGGAAAGGAAAACAGCUCUCGGCCACAUCGCCUGUGUAACCGAAUCUGUUUUCAAAGCCCCUCGCAACGCGGGCUCCGCAUUCGGCAGGGCAGGCACUCGCCGCCAGAUCCCCGAGGACUGCUCAGGGGGUCUUCUGGGAGGAGCUCAAAGCGAGUUUGUUUUCGGGGAGGAGGUCAUUGCACUCAAGGUCCCCGUGACUGCAGCGUUCUCAAACGUCCUGCCAUGUGCUGGGAUAACCCCACCCACCGCAGGCGUGCCCUCCGUGGGGCAGGGAGGGGAAGCAGGUUUGGGCUGUUAGGGCUGCAAGCCAAGGGGCCUGCAGGGCAUCUUAGUGAGCUGCUUUGGUGUCCCUGCAGUUGGCGACACCCAUUGUCACACCCCCUCGGCACCCUCGGUCUCCCACAUGACAGACUUACCUGGGGAUGCAAACAGGGCUGGUGAUGACCUUGGCCCUGUGCGGUGGGGUGGCCGUUUAUGAUGGGGCCUGCACUCAACUCACUUUCAGGUCUAGAUGCGGGGACCGGGGGAGGUGUCAGCUGGGCUGGGCUGGGCACGACUAGACUGUGGCCCCGUCUGCGGGAGCCCGGCCACCACCUCAGCAACGCCACCUCCUUAGGAUGUGGGGGCGGGAUUUACUCUCGAGACUCUUAGAGCCAGCGGGUGGCUGGAGGCUCAUAGCCUGGCCCAGGCAGCUGGGGGAGGGCUUUGCUGGUGCCUGGGACCCCCCACCCCCUGCAUUCUCGCCUUUGCUUUCUCUUUUGCUCUCGUCUUUAACAACAUCUCUCCACUCCUCCCCUCCCUCCCUCCUCUGGCCUGCCCGCUCCUUCAUUCCUUCUCUGCUCCUAACCCCCGCAUAGAGGAGCCUGGGGAGCCCGCAGCCUCCUGACCCCAUGUUCCUCUUUCUCUCCUGUCUUCCUGGAGACGUCUGCCACUGACAGUCUUGGAGCCCUGUCAAGGGGACCUGUCCUGCGCUGGGCUGUCCACAGAGGAGCAGCGUGGAGGAGCUGGGAGUGCCCAGCCUGCCUGUGGGCUGCAUUGCCGCUUCCUGCCCAGGAGCCCUGCAGCCGUCUGUCCGCCUCUGAGUAGGACAGUGGGGUUUCCUGGCCAGGAGCAGAGUUUGUCACAUUCCAGUUAUGUCUGCCCAAUGUUCAGCUUUUGGGCAAGGGGUGCCGGUGGUUGAAGAGGCCCCUCUGGGCAGGAACCUCUCACCUGGGGCACGGAGCUCAUGAAGACAGCUCCCUCCAUCAUGCCCUGUUUUAUAGCUGAAACCAAAGAAUUCAAGCUCCAUAAGGAAGAACCUAGAGGCCCCCCACGUCAGCCUGCCCCAGCCUGGAGCUUACCCACCAUGGAAAUGUGUCUGUUGGCCUUACAGAGGAGAAGGCAUUUGGGCAGGGCUUUGAGGUAUGAGUAGGAGUUUGCUGAAUGAAAUGAGAGGAAAGGGUUUUCAGGGCAGAGGGAACAGGUUGGGGUGGUAAGAAGGGUCCUGAGGCCCAUAGAGAGUGACUGCUAUGAGUGAGUGGUUGGAACUGGCGUGACUGAAGAUGGGGAAGGACAUCUGGGGGUCGGGGGUGCCAGAGGAGUUGGGGAUUUAUCUGGAAGAUGGUGGGUGCUAAGGCAAGAAGAACCAAUUCCUUUUUCUUUUUGCCAAAGCAAAGCCCUCCAUAGGAUUUCCUUUUGGACUUUCUUUUUGAAAGAGUAAUGCACACUGACAGUAACCAUUUAGAUAAUACAGUUUCUAAAAGAAAAGCAAUGAUCCUUUGCCUCUCCCACACCCACCUUUUCCCCACAAGCCCCCAGAAGGCUGGGGGUCUGCUCUCCCUCCCUUGACAGCUGCAGGAUGUUUUGUGGUGGGGUGUGAGGGGCUUUGGCCAGUCCCUGGAGAUGGACGUGCUGGUGUGUCCAGUUUCCCCAGCCCACUUAAAUGGGUGCAGUGAGUGGCCUUUAUAAGUUCCCCGAAGGGGGCGUGUGGGGGACAGUUACAGACAUGUCGUUUAACAAAUGCUGCAGAUCCCCUUCCAGAAGUGAAGAACAUCUCAGCCGUGCCCUGGCAGGCCUGGCUCCUCCCCCUCCACACCUGAAGUUUCUGUUUAAAAUGUUUGGCCACUGGAGGGGUGAAGACACUCACCUGUGCCUGAGGCACUUUAUUAUCCUGACUGAGCGCGCCCUGCACCUCUCACUGUCCUGAAGUGGCUCGGCCCUCGGGCUUCAUCUGGGCCUUCUGUACCUGAGCCUGGGCUUGGCCCAGCGUGGCCAGUGGGCUCCGGGCCCCUCCUGCCAGCCUAGCACUUCUGAGACAGAAGCCUGGCGCAGCAGGCAGGCACCUCUGGACUUUGAGCCUGGGCCCUUGACAGCCAGGGAGAGGGCGACCCCCAGCACACACUACCCUAACCUUUAGCAACGUCCCCACUGCAGAUGGGGGUGCUAGCCUUGAAAGUUGGGUGCCCCAAGGGUUGGGGCAGGAGGGCAAGGGGCCGCCCCAGGGAGGUGGUGCAUGACACAGCCUAUAACAGGCAGUGACUCACUGCUCAUCCAGCCAUAAAGUCAGGGUGAUAGGCUCAGUGUCCCAGCCGUGCUCCCUGGAGUCCCUGCCCCAACGUCAUUCCCUUCUCUGCAGCCUGCGCUGGGCAGAGCUCCCUCCCCAGGGGGGCCGCCUGGGCCACUCUGGGACCAUCCACCCAUUCCAGACCCACCCAUUCCAACUCACUUGCUACUGCUGGGGAGACUGAGUGCCAGGGAGGGGGAGCAAGGGUAGAUGGAGAACUAACAGUGUCAGAGUCCACAGGUCAUCUGUCCCCCACUUUACAGUGUGGACUGCGGGAGGGGAUCCCAGUGUGGGCUGCAGAGCUCAGGGCCAGGAUGCUCGGCCUGUCCAGGCUGCGAUCUGGAGGAAGCGGGUACUCUCUGCUUAGCCCAGGGCCUUCCACGCUCCUGGGGGCUGCGGGGACAGAUCCAAGAACAUGGGCCCUGGGGCCAUGGUGUCCGAUUCAACCCACGCUUCCUCCCUGUUGACACCGGGCAACUUGCUGAGCCGCUCCGUGCCUCAGUUUCCUCGUCUGUAAAGUGGGAUUCAUAGUAGCUCCUUCCCGACUGGGCUGUCUGGGGAUUGGUGAGUGAUGCCGUGGGGCAGGAUCAUGAUUUACGGGGUGCCUGUAUGUUCUCCCAGAGACGGGAAGGGCCCUGAGGGGUGACUCCUCACCAGAUAGCGGGGUCUCCCAGGGACUAAGCAGGUGGGAGGGAUGGGCGCUGCCCUACUGUGCAGAGCCUUGGCGGGAUCCCUUGACGCUGUCCCCAGGCUCUGCGGGGCCAGGAAUAGGGCCACUGGGCCUGGGGUCCUUGUAGUUCAAGGGUCACCCUGAACUGCGGGGCUCUAACUAUAGAGACCCUGGGGCAGUGACGCCUGUGCAACCUGCCCGCCUGUCACUCCCUCCCCCAACCCCUCACACUUGCCCUGCCUCCUUGACCUGCCCUGCCCACCCCUCACCCUCACCCUCACGCUGCCCCCUUAUCCCGCCCCUGGCACCUGCCCUGCCCUUCCCCUCCUGUGAUGGUUAAUACUGAGUGUCAACUUGAUUGGACUGAAGGAUGCAAAGUAUCGA